rnacentral:misc_RNA from 1 species
GAAAACACUUGAUUUUACUUUUAUCAUUAGGGUGGGAUUGGAUUCAGCGCAGAGGCUUGCGAGUCAUGAAAAAUGUUAUGAGCAUUUGUUAAUGCAAUCUUUGUUUUGCACUUCACAUGAUCACAAAACUAUCAUCAUGCCAUCAUUGAAGAUUGAAGCAUAUUACAAUGUAAAGGUGAAAAAUAACAAUAUGGGUUAUAGAAAAUGGGAGGAAAAAAUCAAGUCUUCCCAAAAGUUGGGUGCUGUGUUUGGGAUGAAAAUGUAGGAACUCAGCUUUGUUUUGUAUGGUCUAAUGUGCAUUAGUCACCAGUUUGCUGUUGAGGAAACUCAAGCUUUGUUUUACUGGCCAAAUCCUUGAAUCACGGUUCAUGGAGGACCAUUCCUGUAGUUAUGAGAGAUUAUUUGAAAAUCCGGCAGAGAAAGGCAUUUGCAUGCUCUGCCAUUGUUGAAGCAGUAGAUCAGCAAU